rnacentral:rRNA from 1 species
UACGAGGGGGGCGAGCGUUGUCCGGAAUUAUUGGGCGUAAAGAGCUCGUAGGCGGUUUGUCGCGUCGGCUGUGAAAUCCCGAGGCUCAACCUCGGGCCUGCAGUCGAUACGGGCAAACUAGAGUGUGGUAGGGGAGACUGGAAUUCCUGGUGUAGCGGUGAAAUGCGCAGAUAUCAGGAGGAACACCGGUGGCGAAGGCGGGUCUCUGGGCCGUAACUGACGCUGAGGAGCGAAAGCGUGGGGAGCGAACAGG